GUCUACGGCCAUACCACCCUGAACGCGCCCAAUCUCGUCUGAUCUUGGAAACUAAGCACGGUGGGGCCUGGUUAGUACUCGGGUGGGAGAAUUCAGGCUCACAGAGC
ensembl:rRNA 5S_rRNA 5S ribosomal RNA